CCCGGGAUACGCGUAAUAAUAACGUUACGUGUAACGUGCCGUCGUCGGAAUAUUAUAACCUGUAUAAUAAUAAAUUGAUACGAGUUUUUUCUAUUAUUUUUUUUUUUUUUUUUUUAAAAAAAUAUUCACCGGUCGUUUUUCGUACGAAAAAAAAAAAACCGUUAUUAUCGGCGCGUAGAUUUAUUAUGACCGGACUGCGGU